CGCCUCUUGCAAAUUAAUGAAUAAGAGGUCCUGCCUGCCCAGUGACCAUGUAGUUCAACGGCCGCGGUAUUUUGACCGUGCAAAGGUAGCACAAUCACUUGUCUUUUAAAUAAAGACCUGUAUGAAUGGCAACACGAGGGCUUGACUGUCUCCCUUUUCAGGUCAAUGAAAUUGAUCUUCCCGUGCAGAAGCGGGAAUCCCCCCAUAAGACGAAAAGACCCUAUGAAGCUUUAGACACCAAGGCAGGCCACGUAAAAGCUCCCUCAAAAAGGACCAAAACUAAGUGAAUCCUGGUCCCGAUGUCUUUGGUUGGGGCGACCACGGGGAAGAACAAAACCCCCGCGUGGAAUGGAAGCACCUCUAUUUUUUUUACUUCUACAAAUAAGAGCCACCACUCUAAUGAACAGAACUUCUGACCAAUAAUGAUCCGGCAACGCCGAUCAACGAACCGAGUUACCCUAGGGAUAACAGCGCAAUCCCCUUUUAGAGCCCAUAUCGACAAGGGGGUUUACGACCUCGAUGUUGGAUCAGGACAUCCUAAUGGUGCAGCCGCUAUUAAGGGUUCGUUUGUUCAACGAUUAAAGUCCU
rnacentral:rRNA from 1 species